rnacentral:tRNA from 1 species
CAGGGAGACAACAAAAUGUUUAAUAUUAUUAUUUUGUCACCUUAGGUCGAUCGGUAUCUCACAUUCUUAAUUUAUUGAGGAUUUUAUUUCCUAAGUUUUUUCUAGGUCACACCCAUUACUUUUCCUGGGCCAUUAGCUCAGGUGGUUAGAGCGCACCCCUGAUAAGGGUGAGGUCCCUGGUUCAAGUCCAGGAUGGCCCAUAUCUCUAUGUUGGGGGUAUAGCUCAGUUGGUAGAGCGCCUGCUUUGCAAGCAGGAUGUCAGCGGUUCGAGUCCGCUUACCUCCACUGAUUACCACCUCUUCCAUAAUUUUUAUCAAGGAAAUGUUUUGAGUAGUGAUCAAAUUCUGAACGAAUCUAGCUUCCUAAUGAAAUCAUUAAGAUGCUGGACUCAUUGAAUUAAUUUCAUUGUUUUCAGAGAACCUUGACAACUGCAUAGAUUAUUUUUAAAGACAAUAAGCAUCUUUAUGAUGCAGAUUUAUUAUUUGUGCGAAUGCAUUAAUAACAAUUCUAUUAAGCUGAUGCUUCAAUUAUGAAGUUAUU